AUGCUCCGAUUCCCCAUUGUCCCGUGGCCUCCCAAACAGCCGCCGCCGAUCGGCAUGGCAUCGAGCGAGCUGCCGUCGUCGUCGAAGAAAAACUCCGGUCCCACCACCAUAUGCGCCCUCGGUGACGACCUCCUGCGCGAGGUGUUCCUCCGCCUGCCCUCCCUCCCGACCCUCGUCCGCGCUGCGCUCAGCUGCCCCACCUUCCUCCAUGCCGUCCGUUCGUCCCUCGCGUUCCGCCGCUGCUUCUGCGACCUCCACCCGGCCCCGCUCCUGGGCGUCUACCUCGAAACAUACGGUCCCGCCAUGCCCGCCUUCGUGCCCGUCCGCUGCCGGUCCGACCCGGACCACGCCGCGGCCGUCCGCGGCGCCGACGUCUUCCUCACCCGGGUCCUCGAGGACGAACAAGAAGACGACGGCCCCGGAUGGUCGAUGACCGGGUGCCGCGCGCGAUAG
rnacentral:rRNA from 1 species